UGAUGGAGGGCCUUGAGUCAGCGAGUCAGCGGGGUGCACAAAGCAGUGAGAUGCAUUUCCUCUGAACUCCCCAGGAAGUUCAAGGAUGAGAGGCUUGAUGCCCUCUUAAAGGAGUUUUCACCCUCAAUGCAGGAAUCAGAGGGACCUUUCUAGAAGAUGUAGUGGUGGGCAUUGCAGUUGUCACCCCAGGAUCCACGCCAUCCUUCCUUCACUGUGAAGCAGCCGUGGUGAUUGCAUCUCCGGAGGCAUGUGGAUCCUGGAAAAGAGGUACAAUUCUCCAGACUUGGUUUCAAUUCCAAAGCUGACGAUGAGGUCAGGAGGACAUCUGAGGCUAAAGUAAAUCAACUACACUUCAAUAAAAAUUUUUUAAAAAUAGCCCAUAACUGGAAACAACCAAAAUAUCCCUCGGUAGCUGAGUGGUUAAACACAUUGUGGUACAUCCUGUAAAAAAUUAAUAAACAGAAACCUCAAUUAAAUAGAAUCCAGAAGGGGGAGCUCUCACUCCCCAGAUGACAGCCACGCCCAAAGGGAAGAAAAAAACUCUUCGUUCCUGUCAAGGACUCAGCCAAUGAAAAGCCAUGGACUCUCCGUUUACUGUAGCCUUCCCAACCUCCUCUUCCUUCAGUAAGUAUUUGUCCCUUGCCUGGGGACUUGCACGUGGCUCACCGAGGUUGCAAACCCCAAAAUGCAAUUCUCUGCUGAUACCAAAUAAACCCAUCUU